rnacentral:rRNA from 1 species
GAUGAACGCUGGCGGCGUGCCUAAUACAUGCAAGUCGAGCGAACGGACGAGAAGCUUGCUUCUCUGAUGUUAGCGGCGGACGGGUGAGUAACACGUGGAUAACCUACCUAUAAGACUGGGAUAACUUCGGGAAACCGGAGCUAAUACCGGAUAAUAUUUUGAACCGCAUGGUUCAAAAGUGAAAGACGGUCUUGCUGUCACUUAUAGAUGGAUCCGCGCUGCAUUAGCUAGUUGGUAAGGUAACGGCUUACCAAGGCAACGAUGCAUAGCCGACCGGAGAGGGUGAUAGGCCACACUGGAACGGGGACGCGGUCAAGACUACUACGGGAGGCAGCAGUAGGGAAUCUUCCGCAAUGGGCGAAAGCCUGACGGAGCAACGCCGCGUGAGUGAUGAAGGUCUUCGGAUCGUAAAACUCUGUUAUUAGGGAAGAACAUAUGUGUAAGUAACUGUGCACAUCUUGACGGUACCUAAUCAGAAAGCCACGGCUAACUACGUG